rnacentral:rRNA from 1 species
AUUGAACGCUGGCGGCAGGCUUAACACAUGCAAGUCGAGCGGAGACUUCGGUCUUAGCGGCGAACGGGUGAGUAAUACCUAGGAAUCUGCCUAUUAGUGGGGGAUAACGAAUCGAAAGGUUCGCUAAUACCGCAUACGUCCUACGGGAGAAAGGGGGGAUCUUCGGACCUCUCGCUAAUAGAUGAGCCUAGGCCGGAUUAGCUAGUUGGUAGGGUAAAGGCCUACCAAGGCGACGAUCUGUAGCUGGUCUGAGAGGAUGGCCAGCCACACUGGAACUGAGACACGGUCCAGACUCCUACGGGAGGCAGCAGUGGGGAAUAUUGGACAAUGGGGGCAACCCUGAUCCAGCCAUGCCGCGUGUGUGAAGAAGGCCUCGGUUGUAAGACGACUUAAGUACGAGGAGGAAGGUU